AAAGUUUUACAUUCCAGACUAUCUAAAUAACUCAGCAAAAGCUAAACCUACCUUGGCAGAGCUUUAUCCUCAGGUGAAUUUAAAUUUAGAAAAAUGGAGAUUAUUCUGACACAGCUAAAAGACUUUUCUUCAAAAUCUGUCACAUUUAACAACUGUGUCCAGGCGGGAAUUUACUCCUUCCGGUAUGACAAAGAGGAGGAUGGACCAAAGAGAUCAAGCUCAGACAUUGGACAUGCCUUGGCUUUACUCAAAAAAGAACUGAUCGCAUUCCAAUCAAACCAUUUGAUGAUUGAAUGAUUGAUUAACUUCGCCAGGAUAUGUUGGUACCUUGUAAAGCGGCUUUGCUUUCAGAGCUCCUUUUCUGAUGCCAAUUAUCCUUGGAUAAGAUGAAGUUUCUGUCCACUGAGAUGGAGACAUGCUUGUGGAUGCUGUCAAAAGCUCUUUUACAUUUGAUGACUCGUGUCAAAGAACUCAACGAUCCCAAGAGGAAUUACUUUCUACCAAGCAUCAUGUGCACUCAGCUUCGUAUGUAUUUCCCAGGACUUUCUUCAAAGACCAGACAUUAUGAAAGAACUAUUUUGAAGAGGACUGAAAAAAAUCCAGUCAAAAUGCAUCUCCCAGACCCUCAUCCAGUGAGGUUUAUUCUCCAACACCUUUGUGACAUUGUAAAUAACACGUCCUUUAGUUAUGAGAGGAAUUUCAUGAUGAAAUCUCUUGAAGAACAAAAAUGAGAAUAUGUGGGGAUUGAAGAGGCAAUUUAAAGGGCUAUCGUGACCAUUAAUAUCCUCUUGGAUACAGCUGUGUAAACCUAGGAUGGGAGGUACAUAAACAGGAAUUUGACGAGAUGCUGCCAAGUUUGGCUAGAGCUCAGAUCCUGCAAGUCGGUUUUAAUUUUCAAUAAUGCCCACCACGUCUCUGACUUAAACAAGAUAUAUAGUUGUCCAUGCAAACACAUCUGUGUAAGCCAUAUUGGAUGAAACAGGUCUUUUGGCAUGCAACAUCUGAAAUUUUGGGUUUUUUUCCCUCUGGCUCACUGAUCAACUGCAGCUCUCUGCCAAUAAAUUAUUGUAAAGAAAUUAAUAGGGAAACCUAUUUGUCAUCACUAUGUAUGCUACUGAGAUUCUAAAGAGCCUGGAGGAAAAGUCUGAUUAUUUCCAUUUAUCAAAGUCCUAUUCAUCCUUAAAGACACGGAUCAAAUCUUAUCGCUUCCAUGAAGCUCUGAUUGUCCGUGCCCAGGAAUGGAUCUCCCGCUGUUCCCAAGUCCCACAGUGCCAGUUUUCUCUAUCAUACAUCAGAAAGUCACCAGAAAACAAAGGACAUCUUGGUAGACUUUACAUCAGAGUUUAAGUCCUGGCUCUGCCACUCCUGGGCAGAGCAAUGACCUUAGGCAAGUAACUUGCCUUUCAAAUUUAAUAAUGACAACAGCAAUGACGUGUAUUGAAACCUUAACAUACGCAAAGCCUUAUGUGCAAUACAAUAUUUCUAAUCCUCACAACAGCCUACAAGGUAGUUAUGAUUAUUCUCCAUCGUACAGCUCAGGCAACUGAGUGGUUAAAGAACAGGAUAGCAUAUUUAAUAAGCUAGUCUUCCAGCUUCAACAAAUAUGCAUGUUGCAAUUCAUUAGCCUACUUUUCUCACUUCUUAAGAGGUGUUCAAUACGUAGUAGUUAUUAUAUAUAUUCCAACAAUGCUGAUUUAUUUAUUGUUUAACCAUAUAGGCUCUAUUGGGAAGUUUUAAAGACCAUGUUGACCACUCUGGUCCCAGAGGACCCCUGGGUUUUACAUUUACCAUUGGCAACCUAGACCUUGAAUUUUACACUCAGCAACAAAAGAGCUGCCAUAGAAAGUAUCCAAGGCUAUAAAAUUCGACAAGAUUAGAUACCUGCCAUUUCUCUUUUUUUUGUUUUGGUGAAAAUAAAGCCACUCCUCAUAGACACAGAACACUUUUGACCAUCAUUUACUGUAUAAGAUUCAAGUGGGGUAUCCAAGCAUGAUAAAAUAUUUCAAAAUAUUGCAAUUUCAC
ensembl:lncRNA